rnacentral:rRNA from 1 species
GCUUAACCGGAGAAGUGCAUCGGAAACUGGGUAACUUGAGUGCAGAAGAGGACAGUGGAACUCCAUGUGUAGCGGUGGAAUGCGUAGAUAUAUGGAAGAACACCAGUGGCGAAGGCGGCUGUCUAGCCUGUAACUGACGCUGAGGCUCGAAAGCAUGGGUAGCGAACAGGAUUAGAUACCCUGGUAGUCCAUGCCGUAAACGAUGAGUGCUAGGUGUUGGAGGGUUUCCGCCCUUCAGUGCCGCAGCUAACGCAUUAAGCACUCCGCCUGGGGAGUACGACCGCAAGGUUGAAACUCAAAGGAAUUGACGGGGGCCCGCACAAGCGGUGGAGCAUGUGGUUUAAUUCGAAGCUACGCGAAGAACCUUACCAGGUCUUGACAUCUUCUGCCAAUCUUAGAGAUAAGACGUUCCCUUCGGGGACAGAAUGACAGGUGGUGCAUGGUUGUCGUCAGCUCGUGUCGUGAGAUGUUGGGUUAAGUCCCGCAACGAGCGCAACCCUUAUUAUCAGUUGCCAGCAUUCAGUUGGGCACUCUGGUGAGACUGCCGGUGACAAACCGGAGGAAGGUGGGGAUGACGUCAAAUCAUCAUGCCCCUUAUGACCUGGGCUACACACGUGCUACAAUGGACGGUACAACG